rfam:Canis lupus familiaris chromosome 29, whole genome shotgun sequence.
GCCUGGGUGGCUCAGUGGUUGAGCGCCUGCCUUUCGCCCAGGGCGUGAUCCUGGAGACCUGGGAUCAAGUCCCACAUCGGGCU